rnacentral:rRNA from 1 species
AGCAGCCGCGGUAAUUCCAGCUCCAAUAGCGUAUAUUAAAGUUGUUGCAGUUAAAAAGCUCGUAGUUGAAUUUCGGGAUCAAUAUGUCGGUCGUGCCUUCGGUACGUACUGGCAUCAUUGGUUUCUCCCUUCUGGCAAACCAUGAUGUCAUUAAUUUGGUGUUAUGGGGAGUUAGGACUGUUACUUUGAAAAAAAUUAGAGUGUUUAAAGCAGGCUAACGCUUGAAUACAUUAGCAUGGAAUAAUGAAAUAGGACGUUUGAUCCUAUUUUGUUGGUUUCUAGGAUCCACGUAAUGAUUAAUAGGGAUAGUUGGGGGCAUUAGUAUUCAAUUGUCAGAGGUGAAAUUCUUGGAUUUAUUGAAGACUAACUACUGCGAAAGCAUUUGCCAAGGAUGUUUUCAUUAAUCAAGAACAAAAGUUAGGGAAUCGAAGACGAUCAGAUACCGUCGUAGUCUUAACCAUAAACUAUGCCGACUAGGGAUCGGAUGAUGUUAAUUUUUAAUGACUCAUUCGGCGCCUUA